rnacentral:rRNA from 1 species
AUUGAACGCUGGCGGCAGGCCUGACACAUGCAAGUCGAGCGGAUGAGUGGAGCUUGCUCCAUGAUUCAGCGGCGGACGGGUGAGUAAUGCCUAGGAAUCUGCCUGGUAGUGGGGGACAACGUUUCGAAAGGAACGCUAAUACCGCAUACGUCCUACGGGAGAAAGCAGGGGACCUUCGGGCCUUGCGCUAUCAGAUGAGCCUAGGUCGGAUUAGCUAGUUGGUGAGGUAAAGGCUCACCAAGGCGACGAUCCGUAACUGGUCUGAGAGGAUGAUCAGUCACACUGGAACUGAGACACGGUCCAGACUCCUACGGGAGGCAGCAGUGGGGAAUAUUGGACAAUGGGCGAAAGCCUGAUCCAGCCAUGCCGCGUGUGUGAAGAAGGUCUUCGGAUUGUAAAGCACUUUAAGUUGGGAGAAAGGGCAGUAAGUUAAUACCUUGCUGUUUUGACGUUACCGACAGAAUAAGCACCGGCUAACUUCGUGCCAGCCGCCGCGGUAAAAC